CAUUGUGCUGGAGGAGGGACUGAAAAAGGCUGGAGCACUACCUUUUGUUUGCUUUUGUUCCUCUUCUGUGCAGCAAACAAGAUGAAUUUCCUACACUGACAUCACUUCUGUUCAGAAAAUAAUCUUGUGUGAAGCGGCCCUAUGAUACACCAAAUAUUCAUCACAGAAGACUGUCAUAAGCCACAAAAGAAGAAGGAAAAGAAGAAACUCUACUGGCCCAUUCGUGAGAGAAAAGGAUUUUGUUCUUGUGUUUCAGUGACAUCUCUAACAUAUGAAGGGCCUUAACAUAUGUUGGUAAUUGACUUGGCAUACAUUAUGCCUGAAGAUGUUUACAACUAAAAGGAACUUUUCAGUUAA